UCUGGUCCCCUGCUUCGUCCUCU
rnacentral:miRNA from 1 species